GAGAGGACACACCCCGGUAGGAGGCCAGCCAGAGGGGUUCAGCAGCACACCCCCAGCGGCUGGAGGGGACCCAAGCGGCAUCCAUUUUGGGAACAGGGGCAGGCUCCUCUGAGGCCCUCAGAACAUCGACUGACCCGGGGAAAUGAGAAGAGUCACCUGGUGUUCGCCACGAGUCACCAGGAUGUGACGAAGUUACAGAAAGCCUAUCUGAUUUUAUUGUGGAAGACUUCAUUUAGCAGAGAUUUUCACUUUAGAGAAACUUAAAAAACAUCCCCCCCUGUGUUGAAUGAGAGACCUCUACACUGAGGAGGGGAUAUGAAUAUGCGCGUAAGCAACAGAAAUGCUGGUUUGGAAGCCAAGAAUUUUGCUUGUUAUCUGGAAAAGAUAUAUUAACAUACAGAGCUGAAGCUGAUGACAUCGACAAUAAAAAUAGUACUGCAACG
ensembl:lncRNA